rnacentral:rRNA from 1 species
UACGUAGGGUGCGAGCGUUGUCCGGAAUUAUUGGGCGUAAAGAGCUCGUAGGCGGUGUGUCACGUCGUUCGUGAAAACCUGCAGCUUAACUGUGGGCGUGCGGUCGAUACGGGCAUCACUGGAGUUCGGCAGGGGAGACUGGAAUUCCUGGUGUAGCAGUGAAAUGCGUAGAUAUCAGGAGGAACACCGAUGGCGAAGGCAGGUCUCUGGGCUGACACUGACGUUCAUGCACGAAAGCGUGGGGAGCAAACAGG